AUACGUAGGGUGCGAGCGUUGUCCGGAAUUACUGGGCGUAAAGAGCUCGUAGGUGGUUUGUCGCGUCGUCUGUGAAAUUCCGGGGCUUAACUCCGGGCGUGCAGGCGAUACGGGCAUAACUUGAGUACUGUAGGGGAGACUGGAAUUCCUGGUGUAGCGGUGAAAUGCGCGGAUAUCAGGAGGAACACCGGUGGCGAAGGGGGGUCUCUGGGCAGUAACUGACGCUGAGGAGCGAAAGCAUGGGUAGCGAACAGGAUUAGAUACCCUGGUAGUCCAUGCCGUAAACGGUGGGCGCUAGGUGUAGGGGUCUUCCACGACUUCUGUGCCGUAGCUAACGCAUUUAGCGCCCCGCCUGGGGAGUACGGCAGCAAGGCUAAAACUCAAAGGAAUUGACGGGG
rnacentral:rRNA from 1 species